rnacentral:ncRNA from 2 species
CAGCACAAGAUGUAUGCUCGUGCUCGCCGUCACCGCAGGGAAUCCGGUGCGAAUCCGGAACUGUCCCGCAAUGGUGUGUGAUGGGUCGUUUCGUGCUGCCCGUCGCGAGUCCGACCCCUGCCGACGGUGCCGAACCUGU